UACCAGCACCCCGAGUGGUCGGGACGUUUAUUGGGCCUAAAGCAUCCGUAGCCGGUUCUACAAGUCUUCCGUUAAAUCCACCUGCUUAACAGAUGGGCUGCGGAAGAUACUAUAGAGCUAGGAGGCGGGAGAGGCAAGCGGUACUCGAUGGGUAGGGGUAAAAUCCGUUGAUCCAUCGAAGACCACCAGUGGCGAAGGCGGCUUGCCAGAACGCGCUCGACGGUGAGGGAUGAAAGCUGGGGGAGCAAACCGG
rnacentral:rRNA from 1 species